rnacentral:rRNA from 1 species
CCUACGGGAGGCAGCAGUGAGGAAUAUUGGUCAAUGGCCGAGAGGCUGAACCAGCCAAGUCGCGUGAGGGAAGAAUGUCCUAUGGAUUGUAAACCUCUUUUGUCAGGGAGCAAAGUCACCCACGUGUGGGUGUUGGAGAGUACCUGAAGAAAAAGCAUCGGCUAACUCCGUGCCAGCACCGGGGGUAAUAUGGAGGAUGCGAGCGUUAUCCGGAUUGAUUGGGUUUAAAGGGUGCGUAGGCGGGUUAUCAAGUCAGCGGUAAAAUCGUGGAGCUCAACUCCAUCCAGCCGUUGAAACUGAUGAUCUUGAGUGGGUGAGAAGUAUGCGGAAUGCGUGGUGUAGCGGUGAAAUGCAUAGAUAUCACGCAGAACUCCGAUUGCGAAGGCAGCAUACCGGCGCCCGACUGACGCUGAAGCACGAAAGCGUGGGUAGCGAACAGGAUUAGAUACCCCUGUAGUC